GAUGAACGCUGGCGGCGUGCCUAAUACAUGCAAGUCGAGCGAACGGACGAGAAGCUUGCUUUUCUGAUGUUAGCGGCGGACGGGUGGGUAACACGUGGAUAACCUACCUAUAAGACUGGGAUAACUUCGGGAAACCGGAGCUAAUACCGGAUAAUAUUUUGAACCGCAUGGUUCAAAAGUGAAAGACGGUCUUGCUGUCACUUAUAGAUGUAUCCGCGCUGCAUUAGCUAGUUGGUAAGGUAACGGCUUACCAAGGCAACGAUGCAUAGCCGACCUGAGAGGGUGAUAGGCCACACUGGAACUGAGACACGGUCCAGACUCCUACGGGAGGCAGCAGUAGGGAAUCUUCCGCAAUGGGCGAAAGCCUGACGGAGCAAAGCCGCGUGAGUGAUGAAGGUCUUCGGAUCGUAAAACUCUGUUAUUAGGGAAGAACAUAUGUGUAAGUAACUGUGCACAUCUUGACGGUACCUAAUCAGAAAGCCACGGCUAACUACGUG
rnacentral:rRNA from 1 species